UCUCUCUCCAUCCCUCUCAAUUUAAAUCCAGUUUCAUGUUCUUUCCUCCCCAGUUUUUGAUUUAUUGUUUUUUUAAACAUAUGUGUGCAGAUCUGAGGAACAAAAAUAAGGGGAUGAAUCUUGAGGAAGAGCUUGGAUAAGAACAAGGUGUUCGUAAUGGCAACGGUUGUAAUCAACGAUGAGAAAAAGGGACUGAGAUUGGAUUUGUACUAGGCAUGUUCCUCAUCUCUCUCAGUCCUUGUUCCUAUCCCCACCCUGAUGUAACUGUUUCUUCACAACUGUUGGAUGUGUCUUAGGAGAUAAAUGCCAUGAAUUGUUUA